UACUAGCCCGAGGUUUGAGUCC
rnacentral:misc_RNA from 1 species